GAGGCAGGGCAGGCUCGGUGGCGCCCAGGCCUCCCGCUUCUGGGUGCUGAAGACAACCACCACCGAUAACAUCAGUUGGAGCCCAGCUCUGCUUAAGCAGCCAACGCGCGCUCAAACUUCGAUCUUACAGGAAAAUGGCACGAAUUCCUACACGGCUUUGGAGGCAGUGGAGCCACUAGGAGUGGGAACCUGCCAGCCCCCAUCCCACCUUUGCACGGAGGACAUGAGCAGACAGGCCCAGGAGGCGGUGGAAGCCAGAAGUCAGCUUCAGAACGGACACCAGUUGGAACCCCCUUCUCCCACGGGCAGCCUCCCACCCUGGGCCUCUGCCUCGACUCCCCACGCCCCGGCUCGCAGUGCACCGUGUAAGGUGGCGUCAGGGAUUGAAACCUGGGCUUCUCACCGCCAUCUGCCAACCCCAGCUCGGGCCCAGGGCCCCAUUCCGUGCCCUGUGAAUGGAAAGCAGCAGUGGACAGAGGUUCAGCCCACCGCACCUGUUCCAUCUCCGGUCCUGGCUGGGAAAGGCAGCACCGGGCACCCGAGUGGCACAAGUGCCAGGUCCACACUGUCUUGACCCUUUCUCCAGAGGAGGAGGACAGCAAUGGGGGAAAGGCCCUGGCAGGGUGACCUCCCCGCUCCUGCCCCAGAGGGGGCAGUGAAAAUCUGGGCCAAGCAGAAAGGCUUUUCUGACUUCCCGGACACGAGUGCCAUGGAAUAACAGUCACCGAUUUCAGGAUACCUUCCUCAAGCCAUACUCUUAAGAGACAUUAUCUCCCUUCACAAUCACCCCGCAAGGAACAGACAUGCCUUGGAAUAUGUCUCUGGUGUUAUGGAUGAAGAAACUGAAAGACGCCUGGCUGGCUCAGUUACUAACGCACGUGACUCU